rnacentral:rRNA from 1 species
UGGUCCCUAUUCACUUAGCGGCGGACGGGUGAGUAAUGCUUAGGAAUCUGCCUAUUAGUGGGGGACAACAUUUCGAAAGGAAUGCUAAUACCGCAUACGUCCUACGGGAGAAAGCAGGGGAUCUUCGGACCUUGCGCUAAUAGAUGAGCCUAAGUCGGAUUAGCUAGUUGGUGGGGUAAAGGCCUACCAAGGCGACGAUCUGUAGCGGGUCUGAGAGGAUGAUCCGCCACACUGGGACUGAGACACGGCCCAGACUCCUACGGGAGGCAGCAGUGGGGAAUAUUGGACAAUGGGCGCAAGCCUGAUCCAGCCAUGCCGCGUGUGUGAAGAAGGCCUUAUGGUUGUAAAGCACUUUAAGCGAGGAGGAGGCUACUGGAGUUAAUACCUUCAGAUAGUGGACGUUACUCGCAGAAUAAGCACCGGCUAACUCUGUGCCAGCAGCCGCGGUAAUACAGAGGGUGCAAGCGUUAAUCGGAUUUACUGGGCGUAAAGCGCGCGUAGGCGGCUAAUUAAGUCAAAUGUGAAAUCCCCGAGCUUAACUUGGGAAUUGCAUUCGAUACUGGUUAGCUAGAGUGUGGGAGAGGAUGGUAGAAUUCCAGGUGUAGCGGUGAAAUGCGUAGAGAUCUGGAGGAAUACCGAUGGCGAAGGCAGCCAUCUGGCCUAACACUGACGCUGAGGUGCGAAAGCAUGGGGAGCAAACAGGAUUAGAUACCCUGGUAGUCCAUGCCGUAAACGAUGUCUACUAGCCGUUGGGGCCUUUGAGGCUUUAGUGGCGCAGCUAACGCGAUAAGUAGACCGCCUGGGGAGUACGGUCGCAAGACUAAAACUCAAAUGAAUUGACGGGGGCCCGCACAAGCGGUGGAGCAUGUGGUUUAAUUCGAUGCAACGCGAAGAACCUUACCUGGCCUUGACAUAGUAAGAACUUUCCAGAGAUGGAUUGGUGCCUUCGGGAACUUACAUACAGGUGCUGCAUGGCUGUCGUCAGCUCGUGUCGUGAGAUGUUGGGUUAAGUCCCGCAACGAGCGCAACCCUUUUCCUUAUUUGCCAGCGAGUAAUGUCGGGAACUUUAAGGAUACUGCCAGUGACAAACUGGAGGAAGGCGGGGACGACGUCAAGUCAUCAUGGCCCUUACGGCCAGGGCUACACACGUGCUACAAUGGUCGGUACAAAGGGUUGCUACCUAGCGAUAGGAUGCUAAUCUCAAAAAGCCGAUCGUAGUCCGGAUUGGAGUCUGCAACUCGACUCCAUGAAGUCGGAAUCGCUUAGUAAAUUCGGCGGAUUUUCAAA